GGUUUGGUUUGAACCGAAUGCUCAAACCUACUUAUUUAAUUUGGGGUAAGUUUGCUUAGGAACUUCAACCUCUCAGGAAGUUAAUAAAUUCAAUUUGUUUUGGUUGCCAUUUUAACUCAACUUUUUAAAAGGUGAAUAAAGUAACCUCCUUCAAUUCAAGGGAAGUAACUUACCUGCCCUGUGGAGUAAGUUACUCCUUGAACAAUCAACUUCUUAAAAAGUAAAGAAUUUAAACCAAACAAGACCUAAGAUUGAUGUUGAGUUUGAUGCAAAUUAAUUCUACCACAUAUUGACUACAAAACUGAGGAAAGCUGAAAAUGGAGUGAAAAAUUCACACUUAUUUGAAAAUUCCCUUAUUUAUUUUUUUAUUUAAUUAUUUUUGAACUGUGUAAUUCAUUGAUAAGCAUAUAAACACUUAUCGAAAGGGUGGAUCAUGUCUCUAUUUAUAAAAACAAAUAAUGGGGCAGUGGAGCCUUAUUUCACAUGGGUAUGUGCUUAGUGGUUCAAGUUUUAUGGAGGAAAUCUUAAUUUGAGAUUACAACUCUAAAUCAAAAGAGCCCCCCAAAAAAAACAACAAAAUGAGGAAGAACUUUGACGCCUACACUGCUCAAUAAGGUCAACAUUUAAUCUAUUAAGCAUUUCCAAAAAUAAACCUAGUUCAAAAAAUAACACACAAAAAUUCGAUCUAAAUACCACCGUAUCUGCAUUAUCCCUAUUUAAGGAAAAAAAAAAACCCAAAAACCCUAAUUCCACACCAGUCGAUUCAAGCACCGAUGUAUUUCCACAGAUAAUCAAGACAAAAGUAUAGCACUCGUUUAAAGUAGCUCAAAUGGGAAAUUUCAGAGCGCUUAAAAUAUGGAUACAGACCUUUGCCAUUGGCGGAAGAGGAA
rnacentral:misc_RNA from 1 species